UUUACCAUUAAUGAGAAAGUCAACUAUACUAAAGAAUGAGCUGUGCUUGUCAAGUCUCUAAGAUAAGAUCAGCAGUUGAGGUAUAAAGUGUUUGUUGUCUACGAUAGAUAAGAAGAGGCUUAAUAAAUUUAUUGAACUGGCAAAGAAACUAAAACAUAACCUACUACUCCAGGCGAAAACAAGGUGCUGAAAGCCUUUUUUCCUGCAAGAUUGUAUUCUGAACAAGCAACGGGUAGAUCUAAAUCUUAAGAAUUCACGUUAGCACAAGGUCCAACUCGCUCACUUACUACGCCUUUGCUUUACUUUAAGAUCCGAGUAAUGUAUUCAGAAUUGAGUGUGUACUUCUUAUGUCAUUUACAAGACUCAGUGCUAAUGCGAGGUUCUGCCCACGUACGACACUAGAAAUGCAGGGCUUACAGGAGUCAGGGGGUAAGAUAACCUUACUUGCUCUACCGAAGGUGCCUUCACUGUUAAAUCAAUGAAAUGCAGAACUUAUCAAGUAUAGAGGUCGGGCGCUAAGCACCAAUAGAUGGAUUCAAUGCAUUCUUUUACUUGCGCUGUAGUGAGUGGCGUGGGUCUCAUUCUUUUACUUGCGCUUACGUGAGUUACGUGGGUCUAUUAGAAGUCAGUUCAAUUCCAUUAUGAAAGCCACUAAGCAUUCACCUAUAAAUAAGAACUCGGAUAUAGUGAGUGGUGCUAAAGAGUUGUGAUCCUAAACCAUGGACGCUCAUAUAUAAGUUUGGCUUGGACCACCGUUUCAGAGUGGAGUGAGUUGUUGUUACUCUAUAAUAUAUAAUGUGCGAGGGUGUUGUUACUCUAUAAAAUAUCUAAUGUGCGAGAGAGAGAUUCAUUAAUGAAAGGUAGCUCAAGGCCAUACUCCGCGUAAA